rnacentral:rRNA from 1 species
GACGAACGCUGGCGGCGUGCUUAACACAUGCCAGUCGAACGGAAAGGCCCUGCUUUUAUGGGGUGCUCGAGUGGCGAACGGGUGAGUAACACGUGAGUAACCUGCCCUUGACUUUGGGAUAACUUCAGGAAACUGGGGCUAAUACCGGAUAGGAGCUCCUGCUGCAUGGUGGGGGUUGGAAAGUUUCGGCGGUUGGGGAUGGACUCGCGGCUUAUCAGCUUGUCGGUGGGGUAGUGGCUUACCAAGGCUUUGACGGGUAGCCGGCCUGAGAGGGUGACCGGCCACAUUGGGACUGAGAUACGGCCCAGACUCCUACGGGAGGCAGCAGUGGGGAAUAUUGCACAAUGGGCGGAAGCCUGAUGCAGCAACGCCGCGUGCGGGAUGACGGCCUUCGGGUUGUAAACCGCUUUCGCCUGUGACGAAGCGUGAGUGACGGUAAUGGGUAAAGAAGCACCGGCUAACUACGUG